GGACGGACGUUUUCCCCCACAUACACCGACGGUACUAUUUAUGCAUCAACUUCAGACAGAAAACCAACUUCUACAUCACAUUGGACAUUUGAUCAAUUGCGUCGCCAGCCCCAGCAAUGAUGGAGAUCAGGUUCUAUUGCACAACCUCAAUUUUGCAACACUUCACUUGAUCUGAAAUCUUGUAAAUCACUGUGAACAACAGAUAUUGGAGUAGCCGUGUCAAUCAACGCAAACACAGCCACCAUUAAAAACGUCACCAAUUGAAACUUAAGUAAUACAACACCAUGAAUGAAUAAUGAACUCAGUCAGAAGAGCAAAGAGGAUGUCUGACGACUGCAACCACAGAGAACAGAGAUCCACACCUCACCCAACAUUUAUGCAGCAACGUCAUCAGCGACCCAAAGCGAUUAUGUCACUAGAACACACGGAAUGUUUUCUAUCUUCACGGAAUGUUUUCUUUCUUCACGGAAUGUCUUCUAAGAAAAUCCGCCACACCACUUUAAGCAUUGCAAAAGUCAGCAUGAAACGGAAGUUGUGAUAUUUUUUUCCCCUAUUGUGACAUGUGCCAGAGUAUGGAAUCUUGGGUCGGCCACAGAAUAAAUCAUAAGAAAGGCAUCUCUCGAUUCUGCCCUUUUUUUUUUAGAAUUGCGUGAUAUAAGCACAAUUGCAAGUUAUAAAUUCAGUAA